UCGUCAUGCGACAACCGAUACUGUUUAACUGCUAUAGACCGAUUUACACGCUGGCCGGAAGUCGUACCGCUGCAAAAUAUCAGCGCUGAGACGGUAGCUAAGGCAUUUUGUGAUACAUGGAUUUCAAGGUUUGGUUGUCCACAGAUCGUGACCACUGACCAAGGCCGGCAGUUCGAGUCCCAUCUAUUUAAAGAACUCUCCAGGCUGUGUGGCAUUCAACUGCGACGCACCACAGCGUACCAUCCGGCUGCCAACGGCAUGUGCGAGAGGUUGCACCGAACUUUGAAGGCCGCUAUAAUGGCCCACAAUGAGAUACGAUGGACAGACGCCCUACCCAUCGUGCUUUUGGGUCUACGGACGGCGUGGAAGGAAGACUUACACUGCUCAGCGGCAGAAAUGGUCUAUGGUGAGCCUCUGAGGAUCCCUGGGCCAUAAAUCUCCAAGGGGGGUGGUGUGGUGACCAUAAACUCCACACUACCGACUUCUCCAGCGGGCCCGUAGUCAGGCGACGGCGAGAGCGGCCCGCAGCCUGGCGGUCCCUGGCUGUGACGUCACGCCCCCACCGCGGCGCGACCGGCCGGAGCUCAGUUCAUCGCCUGCGCUCGGACAGAGGCUCCCAGAGAUUCGCACUGAACGCACGCCGCUUUUCUCCGCCUUAUCGCUAGCCUCUGCUUACGCGCGUUACAUCUAUAUUGUACAUAGCUUCUUUCUGUCGCCUAACUUUCUUCCGCACUUUGCACGCAUUUUGUUAUUUUAUUUUCUUAGUUAUUAUAAACUUUAUAUGGA